rnacentral:rRNA from 1 species
GACGAACGCUGGCGGCGUGCUUAACACAUGCAAGUCGAACGGAAAGGCCCCUUUGGGGGUACUCGAGUGGCGAACGGGUGAGUAACACGUGAGUAACCUGCCCUUGACUUCGGGAUAACUUCAGGAAACUGGGGCUAAUACCGGAUAGGAAUCCUUGCUGCAUGGUGGGGGUUGGAAAGCUUCGGCGGUUUUGGAUGGACUCGCGGCUUAUCAGCUUGUUGGUGGGGUAGUGGCUUACCAAGGCUUUGACGGGUAGCCGGCCUGAGAGGGCGACCGGCCACAUUGGGACUGAGAUACGGCCCAGACUCCUACGGGAGGCAGCAGUGGGGAAUAUUGCACAAUGGGCGGAAGCCUGAUGCAGCAACGCCGCGUGCGGGAUGACGGCCUUCGGGUUGUAAACCGCUUUCAGCAGGGGCGAAGCUUGUGGUGACGGUACCUCCAGAAGAAGCACCGGCUAACUACGUG